UGAGGCGUUUGGAACAAGUUCA
rnacentral:miRNA from 1 species